GUCCGGGUAGCCCAAAUGGCAGGAGGCAACGCGUUCAGGACGCGUUCAGUGGGGGUUCGAAUCCCUCUCCGGACAC
rnacentral:tRNA from 1 species